rnacentral:lncRNA from 1 species
GGGACGAGGAAGGGCCGGAGACGAGAGGGGCAGGAACAGCAAACUUGGGUUGAGCAAACGAUGCUGUGUGCAUGCGUGAAUUCCACCUUUAUGUAUCUCUGUAAAGUACCAGCAUAUAAAAGUAAUAAAUAGACAGGGGAAGGUCAGGAAGUGGAGAAAGGGGAACAGGGAGGGAGAGAGAAGGGGACAGAGGAGCAGGAGGUACUAGGGACUGAAAUGGAACAAAUCAUAUUUCAUGCAUGUGCAAUUAUGCCCAAGUGAGGCCCUCUGUUGUGUACAGCUAUAAUGCACCGAUAAACAAUGUGGAGGGAAAUGUGACCUGGGACAAACUGCUGAAAGUCCCUUCCCCCUGAUCCCUAAAUCGUUUCGAGCUGUAAAUAAUCUGAACUGUUUUCUUCCUGUCUCAUAAAAACGGUGUCUACUCUCUUCUCAGGCUAACACCUCACAUGGCUCUUAAAAUAUCAGUUUUAUCUUCCAAUGUGAAAGUGAGGUAAAAAGAAUGUCGGAAGAAAUACAAUCCGUCAACAAACAUAUGAGAAAGUGUUCAUCAUUUCUAGCAAUUAGAGAAAGGCAAAUCAAAACUACUCUAAUAUUUCAUCUCACUCCAGUAGGAUGGCAGUUAUCAAGAAUACAGGCAACAAUAAGUGUUGGCAAGGAUGUGGGGGAAAGGCACACUCAUGCACUGCUGGUGGGCCUGCAAAUUGGUGCAACCACUAUGGAAAGCAGUAUGGAGAUUCCUUAGAUAACUUGGAAUGGAACCAUCAUUUGAUCCAGCUAUCCCACUCCUCGGUUUAUAUCCAAAGGACUUAAAAUCAGCAUGCAGUGACACAGCCACAUC